GGAUGGAGCAGGAGAGAUCCGGCAGGAGAGAAGACUCCGUCAAACCUCCUAAAACUGCCCAUCACGGCGGCGCUGUCACCGGCAAAUCCAGUAAAAAAGUCUAUCCGGGCACCAUAUUUGGGGUUCCGGCGACCUCUAAUUCUUGAAAACAGGGCUCCUCUGGCUUUUACUCUCUGAAUGGAAAUUCAUGUCAGAGUCGGACGUUU
rnacentral:misc_RNA from 1 species